rnacentral:rRNA from 1 species
UGGGGAAUAUUGGGCAAUGGGCGAAAGCCUGACCCAGCGACGCCGCGUGAGGGAAGAAGGUCUUCGGAUUGUAAACCUCUUUCAGCAGGGAAGAAGAAAGUGACGGUACCUGCAGAAGAAGUCACGGCUAACUACGUGCCAGCAGCCGCGGUAAUACGUAGGUGGCGAGCGUUAUCCGGAAUUACUGGGUGUAAAGGGUGUGUAGGCGGGAGUGCAAGUCAGGCGUGAAAUAUACGGGCUCAACCCGUAAACUGCGCUUGAAACUGUGCUUCUUGAGUGUGGGAGAGGUAAACGGAAUUCCUGGUGUAGUAGUGAAAUGCGUAGAUAUCAGGAGGAACACCGGUGGCGAAGGCGGUUUACUGGACCACAACUGACGCUGAGACACGAAAGCGUGGGGAGCAAACAGG